rnacentral:rRNA from 1 species
AGAGUUUGAUCCGGGUCAAGAAGAAACGCGGGCGGCAGGCUUAACACAUGCAAGUGGAACGAUUCUUUGGGGAUUAGUGCGGGACGGUUGAGUAACGCGUGGGAACAUACCCUUUGGUACGGAAUAGCCUCGGGAAACUGGGAGUAAUUCCGUAUGUGCUCGAAAGAGGAAAGAUUUAUCGCCAAAGGGAUUGGCCCGCGUUGGAUUAGGUAGUUGGUGGGGUAAUGGCCUACCAAGCCGACGAUCCAUAGCUGGUUUGAGAGGAUGAUCGGCCACACUGGGACUGAGACACGGCCCAGACUCCUACGGGAGGCAGCAGUGGGGAAUCUUAGACAAUGGGGGAAACCCUGAUCUAGCCAUGCCGCGUGAUCGAUGAAGGCCUUAGGGUUGUAAAGAUCUUUCAGAUGGGAAGAUAAUGACGGUACCAUCAGAAGAAGCCCCGGCUAACUCCGUGCCAGCAGCCGCGGUAAUACGGAGGGGGCUAGCGUUAUUCGGAAUUACUGGGCGUAAAGCGCACGUAGGCGGACUGAAAAGUCAGAGGUGAAAUCCCAGGGC